rnacentral:rRNA from 1 species
UACGUAAGUGGCGAGCGUUAUCCGGAAUUACUGGGCGUAAAGCGUGCGUAGGCGGUUUAGUGUGUGGGAUUUGAAAGCCCGGGGCUCAACUCCGGAUCCGGAUCCCAAACUGCUAGACUCGAGCGUAUCAGAGGAGAGCGGAAUUCCCGGUGUAGCGGUAAUAUGCGUAGAUAUCGGGAGGAACACCAGUGGCGAAGGCGGGUUGCUGGGCUGACACUGACGCUGAGGCGCGAAAGCUAGGGGAGCGAACGGG